AUUGAACGCUGGCGGCAGGCUUAACACAUGCAAGUCGAGCGAGCGGCGGACGGGUGAGUAAUGUCUGGGAAACUGCCUGAUGGAGGGGGAUAACUACUGGAAACGGUAGCUAAUACCGCAUACCAUCAGAUGUGCCCAGAUGGGAUUAGCUAGUAGGUGGGGUAAUGGCUCACCUAGGCGACGAUCCCUAGCUGGUCUGAGAGGAUGACAAGCCACACUGGAACGGAGACACGCUCAAGACCCCCAGGGGAGGAAGCAGUGGGGAAUAUUGCACAAUGGGCGAAAGCCGGAUGAAGCAAUGCCGCGUGUGUGAAGAAGGCUUUCGGGUUGUAAAGCACUGUCAGCGAGGAGGCGUUACUCGCAGAAGAAGCACCGGCUAACGCCGUGCCAGCAGCCGCGUAAUAC
rnacentral:rRNA from 1 species